AUCUCGUGUCCGUCACAUACCCUUUCUGGAACUGUUCCAUUUUUCACACAGCCAGUGGACUGAAAAGACUCCGGUCGCGUCAUGUUCAGACACCUGAUGUCUGAGAAGCGGUGCACCGGGUCAUCAUCAGGGUUGAUCUUGAACCUUCGGAAUUUUUCCUCCAGCGAAGAUUAAAUCAUAAAAUCCUAACAUUGCUCAACUCAGUUUAACAAUGAAGUAAAGGAAAAAUUUCAAAGUGAAAUGCGAACAUCUGUCGCGGACGCCGUGAUUCGACUCAAGAAUUCCCGGGGACAAAUUUAUUCUGUCCCUUAUAGAGUAAAUUACAAGAAAUAUUGUCAACGCCAACUGCUCCCAAACUUCCGACGGGCUUGAUGGAAACAAAUUGGUGUUUUCUUUGUGACAAAAAUGUGGAAUUUUCUGGUGGAGUACAAGGGUUUCGUGCUAAGUGUGAUAGAUGAAAAGUCUGCGGGACAUUUGAUGAAGGCUUUGUAUGGUUCAGCAGAAGAGAAUCGUAGAGAAGGUUUGAAGGAAAUUUAUGGUUGAUUAAGUUAUCGACUGGGCUUAUCCUGAGUUAUGAAACUUUGCUCUUCCAGAUUUUCAGAUCUCAUUCUUUCUCAAUUGUAUUUUAAACAUCAAAAAUACGAGAUUUCACUAUAGAUAUUUGGGAUAGUAUAAUAUUUUUUUGACAAAUUAAUAUUGGUAUCGAAUCUAGAAAUAAUAUGUAUCUAUGCUGAAAUGCAAAUAUUAAAACAGCUUAAACAAACAAAAUAAAUAAAAGGAGAAAAA